GAAACAGUGGCUAAGACUGGAUAGGAAGAUAAAAGGCAUCUUUUAUCUUUUAAAAGACCUAGUAAUAGGUAUGCUUUAGGAGGGGCUUGCGCCAUAUUAGUUAGUUGGUAGGGUAAUGGCCUACCAAGACGAUGAUGUGUAGCUGGACUGAGAGGUUGAACAGCCACAUUGGGACUGAGACACGGCCCAAACUCCUACGGGAGGCAGCAGUAGGGAAUUUUCGGCAAUGGAGGAAACUCUGACCGAGCAACGCCGCGUGAAUGACGAAGUACUUCGGUAUGUAAGUUCUUUUAUCAAGGAAGAAAAGCAAAUGGCGAACCAUUUGUUUGCCGGUACUUGAUGAAUAAGCCCCGGCUAAUUAUGUGCCAGCAGCCGCGGUAAGACAUAAGGGGCAAGUGUUAUCCGGAAUUAUUGGGCGUAAAGGGUGCGUAGGCGGUCUAGUAAGUCAGUGGUGUAAUGGCAACGCUUAACGUUGUCCGGCUAUUGAAACUGCUAAACUUGAGUUAGAUAGAGGCGAGUGGAAUUCCAUGUGUAGCGGUAAAAUGCGUAAAUAUAUGGAGGAACACCAGAGGCGUAGGCGGCUCGCUGGGUCUUAACUGACGCUGAGGCACGAAAGCGUGGGGAGCAAACAGGAUUAGAUACCCUGGUAGUCCACGCCGUAAACGAUGAGUACUAAGUGUCGGGUUAAACCGGUACUGAAGUUAACACAUUAAGUACUCCGCCUGAGUAGUACGUACGCAAGUAUGAAACUUAAAGGAAUUGACGGGACUCCGCACAAGCGGUGGAUCAUGUUGUUUAAUUUGAAGAUACCCGAAAAACCUUACCAGGUCUUGACAUGUUUUUGCAAAAUGAUAGUAAUAUCGUGGAGGUUACCAGAAACACAGGUGGUGCAUGGUUGUCGUCAGCUCGUGUCGUGAGAUGUUAGGUUAAGUCCUAAAACGAGCGAAACCCUUAUCGUUAGUUGCCAGCACGUUAUGGUGGGGACUUUAACGAGACUGCCAAUGAUAAAUUGGAGGAAGGUGAGGAUCACGUCAAAUCAGCAUGCCCCUUAUGACCUGGGCUACAAACGUGAUACAAUGGCUGUUACAAAGGGUAGCUGAAACGCAAGUUCUUGGCCAAUCCCCAAAAACAGUCCCAGUCCGGAUUGAAGUCUGCAACUCGACUUCAUGAAGUUGGAAUCGCUAGUAAUCGCGAAUCAGCAUGUCGCGGUGAAUACGUUCUCGGGGUUUGUACACACCGCCCGUCA
rnacentral:rRNA from 1 species